AUGUCACUGGGCAUUGAAGUUCCAAAAGAAAGGGAAGAUUGUCAGCCUGAACAGGAUACAAGUUGUGAAACACCCAUGUCAAUUCCCCUUGAAGGAUCAUCAGAAAAAGGAAAUACUUAUCAGCCUGAACUUGAAACAUGUAUCUCAUCAAACAGGUUACCAACAAACCCAUGUCAAGGAUGUGAAUGGUUAAGAAAAGAAAAAAAGCAACUUCAGAGACAAAUACGCACAUUAAA